ensembl:antisense
GAGUAUCCUCCGCGCUAGUGUAGGCUGUCGGUCCUCGGGGCACCACAGGGCAUGGCAGGAAGGUUGUCCUAUCACCCAGUCAUGGGUUAUGCAGAAGCACUCAAGAGCACUAGCCUUGCAAAACUACAGUUCCAAGGACUGCAUGUGAUAUUUGAAAUGUAUGUUUUAUGAACUCUUAAAGAAAUACCACACAUAAUCUCUGCUUAUAUUGUAACAUACUAUAAACAACUGGUAUAAUGUUUACCUCAUGGGUGCUGUUUGAACCAUAGAAGCUCUAUCCUUCAGAAUAAUUUAAAAUUAUUUUUUAAAUUAA